GUGAAACUCAUUCCCAAAAGCCCAGUCCCGGAGAGGGAAAUCUGGCGGAUCCCUCUUCACCAGAAUGUUCUCAGUUCCCUAUGGCCUCUGUAGCAGGUUCUGCAUUUCCCGGCUCUCAGUCCUCAAGGGCCUCCGCUUCAGGAGCACUCAGGGCAGUGGAUUGGGCUCCCAGAGUGGUCAUGAGAAAAGCAUCUCAGGUCCACUUCUGGGGGUGUUUCAAAGACCCCCUCAGCAUACUGCAGUGAGUCCCAGGAAAUCUGACAAUGCCAAACCAUCGCCAAAGUCAGAGAAAAGGGUAGAAAAUAAAGGUGGCUUCUGGAGAACAGAGAACACUGUUUAUUCUUUUUUUUUUUUUUUUUUCCCUGAAAGGAUAAGCUUUCCAUUGUCACUGCAAGCCAGAAGAAAAUGGUGUUUAUAGGGGUCAGAUGGAAGUUCUCUCUGUUUGCAUCUGUCUCAAUGUUUGUCCUAUUCAGAACCUGGCUAACUUGUUUUACUCUCUGAACUAUCCAAGACUGGCCAGAUAUUCUGAGGGCUUGGGAGGACUCU
rnacentral:lncRNA from 10 species